GCUUGCUCUGGUGCUAGGGUCAGCUAGACAGGUUGGCAGGAGACCAGCUGCUCUAGAAGAGCCUGGACAGGAUGAAUUGGUUCUCCUUCCACGUGCAUCUUGCAUCCCUCCAGCUAAGUAUUUGAACCCAGGUCUCAUCUGACUCCAAACGCACCAAGAAGAUGGAGCCUAGAGUGACACAGAGGAAGAGGCCCCUGGAUGGAUGCAUGGGGAAGGUAGAGGCAGGUUUCACCGUGUUAGCCAGGAUGGACUCGAUCUCCUGACCUCGUGAUCCACCUACCUCGGCCUCCCAAAGUGCUGGGAUUACAGGCGUGAGCCACUGCGCCCAGCCACCUAUGUCCUCUUUUCUACAGGUUAGAAGCAAGGCACAAGUCAUACCUACAUUCAAGGAGAGGAGACCAUGCAAAGGAUAAACUUCAGGUGAAGAAUUGAGAGCUAUUUUGGAAGCUGCCUUCCACACUUUACAAUCUACUUUGCAGCUAUACUGAGCUCUUAGCAACUCUCUGGGCCUGCUGAGCACCUCUUGCCUUUCUGCCUUUGCGUGCGCUGUUCCCUCUGCCUGGAAUUCCAUCUCUUCUGCCUUUGCCCACCUUAUCCUAAGGCCUCUGCUUAGAUGCAAUUUCUUUGGGCUCUUAUUAGCAGCAUCCAAAUCUGUGCUGGUUUCUUCUAAUGCUUACUCUGCAUCAUAAUUUUUCUGUUUACUUGUUAAUCCCUUCCCACUCCUGCCAGUACCUAAAGUAAAAUCUACACAGGGCUUGGCACACUGUGGAUGCUCAAUGAAGGUUUGUUAAAUGAGUGAAUGAUUAAAUGAAAUAAGCCCCAGCUUGGAACCCAGGGCUGUAAUUUCCAGUUCUGGUCCCUGUCCCCUGCCCAGGGGCUGUCUAAGGGCUCAUCUCUCCCAGGAGCCCCUGUAUCAUCUCAGUAACUAGACCAGUACCAUAUCCGACUUCCCCUGACUUUGAAAUAAUUUUCACCUGCCAUCAGGUGUGCUUCCUUAGAACCUCUCUCGCUGUCCUUUGCCUUCCUCCUCCCCCCGCCUUGUAUCUCCGUGGUCCUGCCAAAAAUCAGAAGCUCAUUAUUAAACCAGAAGCUGCCUUACAUUAUCCCAGAGACUACAGACAGAAAAUAUUUGCUUCUCUCUCAACUGAGGACUGACAUAGUAAAGGCUCCUUGAGAUGUUAGCUGUCAAGGAGGGGAAUAAAAGUUUUUCAUCUGCA
rnacentral:sRNA from 1 species